rfam:Hordeum vulgare subsp. vulgare, WGS project CAJW01000000 data, contig: morex_contig_1562318
GCCGGGAAGAGGAAGAAAGAGAGAGCUCAAGAGCAAUAGGAAUGAGAACAUGGAGGAAAGCCCUCCUUGUUUGUUUGCACCUCGAGUGAUGGAGGUGCAAAUAUUUAGCAAGAAUACUUUCCUGUUGCCUCUCAUGUCUACCGUUCUUGUGCACUCCUUCCUCUUCCUUUUGGCU